GGGUUUCCAAGUGCUGUUCUAGUUCUUUAGCCUCUACAACUCAGUGAGACAUUUGGUUUGUGUUUGUGCUAUUAACCCCCAAACUCCCUGUCCCCCAGGGUCCCCUAUGGCCACCUUAACAGGUCUACCAUAGGCAAAGAGCUUAGCAUUAGUCAUGAGGAAAUAAGGAACCCGGUGGUAGCAGAAGGGUCUCAGAUCCGGAUGUCCGAAGCCCCAGGUCUAGUUUCAAUUUGCAACUUACUAGCUGUGUGACCUUAUUUGAAUCACUUCCCCUUGCUGGGCCUUAGUUCCUUUAUCAGUAACAAUGGGAAUGAGACCACCCACUUCACCAUGUUCUAGAAGCCAAUGCCUGUGCGGGGGCAGUGUCUGGGUAGGAGGCCCAGCAAGCAGUCGACAGGACCCCCUCCCGCAGCCAUUGGCCCUGCAGCCUGGCAUGAGCUGAUCAGAGGGUCCCUCCUGCCCCCUCCGCCCUUCCUACUCACGUCACCCGCCGUCCUAGGAGCUUCGGGAAGGAGUCACAACCUGUUCCACUCUCCUCUCAAUCGCGGGUUUGAAUUUAUAUACGAGGCGACAGCCUACAAAUGACAGGUGUGGCAUGAGGAAACAGAGGCACAUCAGGGAGAAACUGACAAGGAAGAGACGAAAGCCUACAGCAUCAGACUUGACCGUUGUCCUCCCCCCAUGUAGCCGACAGCAGCAUCCCUCUGUUCUGUGGGUUUGAGGAAAGGCCGGAGUCACACUGAAGGCCCCAUGUGUGUAAUCAGAAGGUCUACGUGUUUAUGUGUACAUGGGGAUACGUGCACAUCUAUCCUACAAGCGUAUACGGUAUAUGUAAUACAUAAUCUACCCAUCUGCCAAUUGCAAAA